UACGUAGGGUGCGAGCGUUAAUCGGAAUUACUGGGCGUAAAGCGUGCGCAGGCGGUUCGUUAAGACAGAUGUGAAAUCCCCGGGCUUAACCUGGGAACUGCAUUUGUGACUGGCGGACUGGAGUAUGGCAGAGGGGGGUAGAAUUCCACGUGUAGCAGUGAAAUGCGUAGAGAUGUGGAGGAAUACCGAUGGCGAAGGCAGCCCCCUGGGCCAAUACUGACGCUCAUGCACGAAAGCGUGGGGAGCAAACAGG
rnacentral:rRNA from 1 species